GUAGGUUCCUUGUUUACAUUUGCAAUGGGUUUAUAAUUCUCGCCAUCAUCAGAAACAAAGAGUGUUACACCUUUCCAGACUUCCUCUUCACCAGCAAGAGACUUUGUGGCAGGAAAAGAUAGCUUAUAUAUAGUAUGAUCAUAUCCUACCACUCACUUGGAUAGACAUGCUUUUAAAUUUUGUUUUGCAUUCCUUACGAAUGUUUUUUUUCUCGCCAUUCACAAUCGUCGCUAUAUUGCCGAGCGAAAGCCAAGCAUACUUUAUCGGUAAUUCUAAAUUAUAUAUUUCUCUCUCGCCAGGAUAAGUAAAACAAAAUUUCAGAGAUGUUUUGUGCUUGUCCUUCUUACUUAAUUAUAAGCAUUUCAACUGCUGCUGCAACACCUUUGCUUAGCGGCUCAGCAUGUUUUAUAUCAAUCGAAUAACUGAGAUCAAGAUUAAAAUAAAUAAUGCUCACUUUACUGUUUAAGUCUAGCUGACUAACAUUUAUGCACUGCAUUUGCUUAAUUUAUGGUUGGAGACAACGUCAUCAACUGAUAUCUCGGAAGCAACUCCCACACCCCUUUGCGCA